rnacentral:SRP_RNA from 1 species
GCUGGGCGUGGUGGCGCGUGCCUGUAAUCCCAGCUACUCGGGAGGCUGAGGCAGGAGAACUGCCUGAACCCAGGAGACGGGGGUUGCGGUGAGCCGAGAUCGCGCCAAUGCACUCCAGCCUGGGUAACAAGAGCAAAACUCCGUCGCAAAAAAAAAAAAAAAAGGGAUCGAACUCUUGACACACUAUCUAGUCCUCUAUUGUCUCUUAUUUUUAUUUUUAUUUAUUUUUUUCGAGACGGAGUUUCGCUCGUUACUCAGGCUGGAGUGCAAUGGCGCGAUCUCGGCUCACCGCAACCCCCGCCUCCUGGGUUCAGGCAGUUCUCCUGCCUCAG